GUGCAAUGAUGCCUUUUUGACACAUCAUUCCGAUUAAACGUGGUGAAUUUAAACAUUUUAAACCUGAGCACA